UUAACCAAAACAGAAGAAAGACUUUUCAGUUGGCAGAAAGGAAUCUGUGGAUCAUCAGAGGAAAAUUCUUAAUGUAUUGUUUCUAAGCAAAAGACAUCAUUUGUACACAUUUCAUAUUCAAUUACUUUUUUUUUUUUUUUUUAUCAAUUACCUAUUUGAACAAAUGAAUGAGUAAAUCAGUCAGAAUUCACUUUUGCUGCUUUUACUCUCCACUAGCCUGUCGGGAAUAAAGCUACCCAGCUCCAUUCUGCUCUUUCCGGGUUUUACUUCACACACCCCAGUUCUGCCGGCGACUCUGGCUUUCUCGGGGCGCCUCCUUGUAUCUUCCUCAGGCCCGAGCUCGUCAUCACACACCUGAAGCCACCUGCUUCGGCGUCACUUUCUCUUCGUCCCCCUGGAUUCUCUGUGCUGAUUGUGGAUGUGCAGACAUUUGCAUCACGGAAGAAUGCGUACAUCAGGGAAGGAGCUAUACAUUUUCAGAGGCCACUCUUUCCUACUCAAGUACAGAGAAGCUCUGGGCCUUUAAAAUGUACCCAGUAAAUAUGGACCAAUGAAAACACAUGAGCAGGCACAGCUGAAAGGCAGAGGUAGAUAUAAAUACAGAUAUAUGUUGCACGAAUCCUAAUUGGUCUUAUAAUAAAAACCCAGAGCCAGAUAUUGGGGUAAAUGCUGAAAGAUCAGAGGAACAAACCACCUCACCAACUCCUAAGUGGAAAAGAGACUGAGCUCCUGUCUCCUCCCGCCUUAUAUUCCUUUUCUCUGAUCAGCCAUAUCACUUCCUGUCUCAACUUCCCUAGUGCUGGAAUUAAAGGUGUGUGCCACCACUGCCUGGCCUCUAUGGCUAACUAGUGGCUGGCUUUGCCCUCUGAUUUUCAGGCAAGCUUUAUUUGUUAGCACAUACCCAAAAUAUCAUCACAGAUAUAUAGAUAAAUAUGUAUGCUCUGUAUAAAUGAAAGAACGCCAAGAGGCAUCGUGAUCGAAGAUGGCAAGCUUAAGCAGCUAUGGUCAUGGGCUUUGACAUUAGGUCCCGUGGUGCCAAUCCCGGGCCUGUCCCUUAUUGGCUGCCCACUCUUAAGAUGAACAAUCUUUCAAAUUUUUCUGCUCAUACCCGUGUAAAAUGAGGACAUUGAAAGUAUCCACUUCAUAGAUUUUUAUUGUAUGAGAAGAGAUAAUAAUAAGAAAGCAUUUACACAAUGCUUACCAUUUUACAUCAAUAGAGAUCACUAUUAAUUUGAUUCUCUGAAACACACACACAUUAAAAAAAACAAAAUUAAAACUAUGAUUGUCUUUUUAAUUGUUAUAUUUUUACAUCUCAGAGAAUGCAAGCACCCUCCUAGAAAGCCAGAGUUUGCUCUUUCGUGAUAACUGUGCGCGAGUGUGAUGGGUGACAUGGUCCCAUCAGACGGAAGAGUUAGCGAGUUCAAACUGAGCUCUUCUUUCACGUACAGAGGACAGGGUUCUGAGCUUUGAAGUAUCCCGAGAAACAACCUGCUGUGAUACUUUUAUCUGUGCGGAGAUCUUUGGUGGCCUCACUCGUCUGUGUCUGGCCUCCUUUCCUCCAAGCAGAGGGCAAUGCUCUCACUGUUCAAGUCAUGAACUCACUACAUUCCCGGCAUACGCUUUCCACACCCAGCGCCAGCGCCUCUCUCCAUCAGAAGAAAGGCCUUCAUUGUAGAAUUGUUAUCAGAUUCCAAGGCUCAGAGACAUAAAUAAAGGGAAGGAAAACACGCUGGCUGUUUUCAUCAUUCAUACAUUUUUAUGGGCUUCUGAAAUAUCCCGAUGAUUAGACAUUUGAAAGUAAAUAUUUUUACUGCUCUAGAAAAACAAGCAAUUUUUAAAAAUCCAUUUGAUCCACAAAAAUCCCCUUCUAGAACGGAUCAUUGACAUUUUUUUCCCAUGAUUUAAUACCAAGGCCAAUCGACAAUUAAACUACAGACAAGUACACAUAAAAACACUUAUUCAGAAUGUUUAGAUCAUGACCUUGAGUCUCAAGUACAAGUCUUUUAAAAUACAUUUUAAAAUGUCUGAACAGAACAUUAUUUUCCAUUAGGAAGUUAAACGAAACAUUCUUUGGAAACUGUAUAAAUCAUUAACAUAGUUACAUUUGCCCAAAAAUGUUCUCUUAGAAGACUGAUGACUCCAGAAAGAAGCGGGGGAGGGGAGGCUAGCCUUUGGUAUCAAAUUUUGUUUCUGUAUUUUAAAUCAAAGUUCUUUCAGUAAUUAGAUUGAAAGCUAUUUUUAAAACAUUUCUGUAGAGUUUUA